UUUAAAAUAGAUCGCGUCAUGGUUUACUGAAUAUUGUAUAAUCUUUUCUGUAUGUAUUUUAGAUUUUUUUCGCCGAAGAUGAGAUAAAGUUUCGGUCUGUUGGCACUUCGGUUUCUGAUCGAUUACUAGAGAACACUUCGGCUAUAGUGAAAUUACGUAUGAUAACUGUCUGUGCUCGGUAGAUGAACGAUAUUGUUAAAUGGAUCAGUAAGUCAAGGUCACACUGGCCUCAGUACUGAAAACGAUUUCAUAUGAAUAGCUUAAACUUCGGUUAUAAAAGGUCAAACUCAGUUAGAAAUUUAUAGUUUACUUUUUUUGUCAUUGCACUCAGACUAAUAAGAGACAUUAACAAGUUCAUACACUUAACAACUUUUCUAACUUCACACCAUUUUUUAUUUUUUCAAUAUCUGCUAAAUUUUAACAAAUUGAAAUUUUAAAACUGGACACAUUAUUUAAUGAUCAGUUUAGUUAAAUAAAAUAUAACAGUAAUAUCAACUGUACGUAUAUUCGUUGGUCCAAGACAGUUGCAAUGAGGUAAGUCACAAAAUGAAUGCAUCUUGGUGCUGGUCUCUAUGCGGCAAGUAGUGCCAUCUGCGUGAUUAAACAAUUUUGCAGCCAGUUUAAUUACAAUCUUCAUGGGAUAGAAUAUGAUCUUAUCUUGACAUAGAAUGCUGCUCUGCAAGAGUGCAAUAAAACAUUAUAAUAUUGGUAUUGAGAAAUAUGCACGAGUUUUGCAGUUAAGAUUUUGCGCUACAUAAGCGGUGCAAUAUUAAUCAGCGAAAAUACGAGUGCAUAUGUCUCAAUGCAAGGCUUAUCAUCAUUUUGUUAUAUAUUCAUUUUUACUUAUAAAAAGAUACAUAAUUUUAUAUUCGCACAUGAUAAAAUUUGAAUAUGAAAAUUUAUACAUUGAAAUUUUAUAGCGCGGAUUGCCACAUACAAUUUGUAACGGAUGGACGAAAGAACUGUUCAGAUAUUUUACAGAUAAGGGGCCUGGCAAUAACCGUGUCACACGCUAGGUAUUGUUCAAUCAUAUUAUAAGGGAUGUGAAUUUAAAGUAUACUUACGUUUGCGUUUAAAGAUAUGUAAAUGUUGCUGAGUGUCAAUAUAUAGUGUCAUGAAUGUUUACACUGACAGGAAAAUUGCGCAUUCGAAACUAAGAGAAGGUACUCGGACUAGCUACCAAUUUCGGAAAAGAUAACCAAUAUUAAUAAAUGCAGUUCUUUUUUAGUUAAAACCAUCAUUUAUUCUAUUUCAGACCCCUUCAAAACCAUGUCAGUAGUCCCCAAGUCUAUGUACUUUCAAUUAUCCGUUUUGGUUCAUGUAGACAGACAAGCCCAGACUGGGCUGAAAAAAUGUUUGAGCCAUUUUUACGUGGUCGGUAGCAGGGUGGGUGUGGGGAGGGGUGUUCCUUCCCGCUUUGAACUGCAGUCAGAUUUUGAAAUGGGCAUUGUGGCAGGUGGUAAAAGGGCAAAUGUAUCAAACUGUAAAGUGGCAAUAUGGGGGGAGGGUGUUGGAGGAUACCCCCUCCUGCAAAUAGGGUUUGGGGUAUCACCACAAGGAAAUUUUGAAAAUGUAGACCCUUGAUACAGCCUUUGGUGCGAUUUCUAUCUGAAAAUUUUAUGUUCCAAUUUCUAAAUAUUACCUAGAUUCUUUUUAGUAUUACAAUAUUCAAAGUAUGAAUGACUGUCACUUCAUAUUUUUACUUUCAGGUCAUGCCUCAGCACUAGAAUAUAAGUCUGAUAUUGAUUCUAUGUCAUGCCUCAGGACUAGAAUACGAGUCUGACAUAGAUUAUAUGUAGGUGUAAUAAAAAUAAAUUCUAGAAUCAUUUCUGUUACAAUAAUAUCUAUCAUGUAUGUUACUUGAAUGUUAAAAUUUCAUAACACAGCUCGAUAUUUACCCAAAAUAUUAUAUCCGGAUACAAUUACACUUUUCUCCAGUUUCAACAAUAUAUUUUACAAAUUGUGAUGAUACGAAGACAUUUAGCAGCAAUUGGCAGUAUCUGACAUUGAAGUUUACGAUUAAAUUACCUCUUAUUUAAAUCUUUUCAUAAAAAAAUUGUUUCGUUUCGUCAAAGCAGCCAAACAUAGACGAUCUACUUUCGAUUUCAAAAACUACAAGAAAAUACAAUUUAAUGUUUCGCCGAUUUGUUUAUUUCUCGAAAAAUAAGAAUUAAUAUCAUUUUUAAUAUCAGUAGUCUUAUUCCGAUAAUUUAUCCGUUUACUGACUACAAAAUUCAACCCACGCAAAGUCGUAGAAGCAUUGUUAUAAACAGGUCACGCGUGUUCGCCGAGAAGUGUCCAGAAUGUAGUUAGGGUUAGAAUUAACGUACUGCACAUAUCUUAUUCGGGUCAUUUAAAAUGAAGCUGUCAUAAUUUAAUUUCAUCGAUGUGGUAAACUCUUUGAUAAGAGACAUUCCAAUGCUUUCAGAGGUACCCACUCAAUAAAAUACUAGCAGUAUGUUCUGGAACUAUAUUUUGUCUUUCGCUGGAUGUUACGCAAGCUUUGUAAGUCUGCGCAAUUCAUAAAAUGCACAGCACAAUAAAUUUGUUAUUUGCGCAAUGAUUUUAAAGAUUAUUUUUUGAAACGGACAGGGUAACAAAUGGAUAAUUUUGCUAAUAAGUUAAUAUGCAGUUUUUAUUUGAAUUUGUGAACAUCAUAUUUGCUAUUUUGUGACAAAAGGGCAUAAAAUUCGUCACCAUAAUCAUAUGCGCAAAUGUAUUACCAAAUCCCGCAGAAUCGUUAUGCGUGUUUAUGCUUAAUGAGUUACCGCAGAAGAAAAUACGUGGCUUUAUUCGAGUAUCGCACAAUUACAAGUCAUAAAUAUGACAGAUUACAUCGUAUAUUGGUCAUAGCAAAUAGGAAUGACAUAAAUGAACUUCAUUCGAUCAAUGAACUCUUUGAAAUUAGAGACAAUCCAAUGGAACUACAUCACUUCGCUGUGUUGUGAGGCCAUUUAAGAAUGAGAAAUCGUGCGAUAGCAAGGACUCGUCAAACGCCUGACAGCGUUUAGCCGACAAAAAAAAAACAGACGUUACCCUUUUCGGAUACAUAAUUGUUAAAUAUCACUUCAGAGAAUAUGAACUUCAGAAAGUGAAAUAUUGAUGUUACAGAGACCCUACUGGUGCGUUGUUUGUUUUUCAGUAAAAUGAAACAAAAGAAAGCUUCCAACAAAUAAUGGCUAACAAAAAUGCAAUUACAUUGGCGAAUUAGCAGGACUUUCUUUUUACGCAUUUCAAUUUACCUGCUGAAGUAAGAGUAAUUCCCACAAUCAUUUUUUUCUGAAUGGGAGAAGGAAAGACAUGAAUAAACUAAUUAAUGAAAACUAACAAAUUAAAAAAAACGUUGUGUAAGUCAGUUACUUACCUCUUAGAUCGGUAUUCAUGGAUUGAAAAUAACCGCGCUCGUGCGGUAACGAUUCGCACGAGCGCGGGUAUUUUCAAUUCAUGAACACCUCCUACUCGGUUAGUAACCUACACAUCUAAACGACAUCUAAAACCAAGUAUUACACUGAAAUCUUGUUUUGAUGAUUUUUAAAAAUGUUGUUUAAGGUCUUUCGAAAUAUUAUACAUAUAAUCAAUUUAGUUACGUAAUACGCAUUGAAAAUAUUAAUCACCAAUUAUAUAGAAAGAGCAUAUUUAUCUCACUGUGAAUUGGUUGUCAAAUACUGUAAUAUCGUAUGACUUGUAACGGUGUCAAUAGCGUAAGAUUUACCUAGGUGUAAUGAAUGGAUUUCUAUUGAAUUUUAUUUUCUAUGGAUAAUAGUUGAUAAUUUCAUACACUUAAGUACAAUUAUAACAUAUAUCUAUGAUAUCAAAGGCUGAGCGUGAAGCUAUUAUAUCUCAUUUUUUUUAUUUAUAUGCCGUUACAACAGUUUCGCGCUCAUCUCAAAAUAAAGUAAAUAUAAUGCGAGACAAAUUACGUCUGCAGUGUUAUACAAAAGGUCAUAUUCAAAAGCUUUUAGCCUUGAAAAUGUAAGUUUUUCCGAUUUCUCAACCAACAUUUUAUUAAUUGUUAACACUGUAUUAUAAUUUUGUUAUAGAAAUUUCUUCCUAGACAGCGUAUGAUUGUAAUAUUUCACAUGGUCAGGAUUAUUACAAAAUAAGCAAUCAGAUAGUAGGAUUAUGAGAUAAAUUGCAAAACUGUACCUAAAUUGUUAUAAAACUACAAAGACAAUUGGUGAAUUUCAAUGCACGUUAAAUCAAUUAAUCAUAUAUAUCAGUUUGCUAUACAAAUAAUGUCUAUAAGAAACAGGUUCGCUUUAUUUUUAUUACAAACUCGGGUUAUAACGAAAACGCACUUGCUUGUCCCGAUGAGUUCGCUAAAACCGGAGUUUACUGUACUUCAAACACAAUUUGAAGUAAGCAAUCAUAGUGUAUGAAGCCAUCUCCGUUGCAUGACACUAGCCAAUUAAUUGUGUUCACUACGCAGCUGCGUAUUUGCGUAAAGGUAGCUACACGCUUGAUUAUUUGCUUAUCAUCAACAUGUUGAAAAUCAGAGCUAAAAGGAUGGGAAAUGAAAAAAAAAAAAAAGAAAACGACGAGAAAGUUUGGUGAACUGGGUUCUCCCUAUGUUUGCUCUGGGUAACUUUUUGUACAUUAUUUCAAAGUUAUUACAGCUCGUCUGAUACUUAAACUUUAACAAAAUAUCAUCUUACCUGUCUUAUCGUCUGUUGCUAAUUCUGUAUUGCAAAUGGUGAUUAUGAAUCUAAGGGGAGUAAGUUUAAGUAUAUACAAACCAAUGUGCUCUUAUAUUGUGCCUUUGUAUUGUGCCUUUGUAGAUUACAAGAAAGCGUUUGAUUCUGUCGAUCGUAUGUGUUUAUGGAAUGAAUUGCUGCAGCAUAACAUUGAUGACAAAGUCUUUGAGGCUAAAUAUACAAUAUAUGAUAAAGCCAAAUCGUGUGUAAGGAGUAGCCAAGGUCUAUCAAAUUUCUUCAUUAUAGCUCAACUGGUGUACGACAAGGUGAAAAUUUAUCACCAAAUUGAUCUUAUUUUCUGUUUUCUUGAAUGAUUUAGUCUCACACAUGCCUAUUUUUUUUCAGGACUAGUGGAAUUAUCAAACAAUGUAAAGGACCUGCUAAAUGAUGACAUUUCAGAAAUUUUUUCAAGUUAUUUUUGUUACUUUAUGCAGACGAUACAGUGUUAUUUGCAGAAGCUGAAAAUGAUUUACAAACUGCAUUAAAUGUUAUGUCAGAAUAUUGUUACAUUUGGAAACGUACAGUUCAUUCCAAUAAAACUAAGGUUGUUAUUUUUCACGUGUAAAAGUGCGAAAUAAGCCUACCUUUCAUUAUAAUAAUGCGGCACUUGAAGUAGUAGAUGACUUCAGUUAUCUAGGAAUUUAAUUUAACAACAAUGGUUACUUCAAUAAAACUAAAAUGUAUUUGGUUGACCAAGCUAGAAAAAAUAUGUAUGCUCUGUUGAAAAAAAAUGUAGGAAGUUGCAGCUUAGUAUUGAUUUACAAUUACGUUUAUUUGAGUCUGUGGUUCCACCAAUAUUAUUGUAUGGAUCAGAGGUAUGGGGUUUUGGUGAUGUUACCAUUGUUAAAAGUUUUCAGCUUAUGGUUUUUUAAAAUGGUACUAAAGGUUACAAUGUCAACACCUAAUAUCAUGUUUGUUUUUUUUGGCGAGCUUGGUGUGUUACCAAUAGAUGUUAUAAUUAGAAAUAGAAUAUUGAACUACUGGUGUACCAUUAUUAAUGGUAAACAAAAAAAGAUAAACUGUAUACUUUACAGGUUCAUGUAGAGACUCCAUCAGAAAAUGUAAAUUAUUGUUCUUGGAUUUCAUAUGUAAAAGAACUUUUAGAACAACUCGGACUUGCUGAAUACUGGUUGAAUCAAUCAGUAUUUUCACCAGUGUAUUUCCGCAAUAUUGUACAACAGAGGUUGAAGGCCAGUUUAUUCAAUCUUGGAAUGAAAAAAUCUUUGCAAAUUUCCAGAAAAUAUUUGUGUUACAGAAUAUUUAUAACAACCUUUGAGAUUGAAAAUCAUUUUAAAGUUUUACCAACAAAUCUCGCAAUAUCCAUGUGUCAUUUCCGAUGUAGGAACAAUUUGUUACAAGUUGAAAGAGGGAUAUUUUUGAAUAUUGAGCUCAAUAACAGGAUUUGUUAUCUGUGUAAUAAUACAUCUUUAGGAGAUGAAUUUCAUUACAUUAUAGUAUGUCCAUACUUAAAUUUAGACAGAGUAAAAUAUAUACCAAAAGACUUUCAACAGUCAAAUGUAAUGUCAUUUCAACGUUUAUUUCAUAGUAAUGAUAGUACUCUUCUUUUUAAGUUAGCAUUGUUUGUACAGAAAAUACUUCAAAUUUGUGGGGAGGAAUAGGUUUUUGUCACUGGCAGUUAUUUGCUAGCCUGCUAAAUCACUGUUUUCAAACCUGGUUAAUUCUAAAUGUACACCGUCUUUUAUCUUUUAGCUUACAAAAUGUUUGUAUCAGAUCUAUUAUGAACGUAAAACUACUGUUUUAUUUUAUGUAGGCCCUUUAAGUGUUUGUUUUGUUAAAUUUGUUGUUAUUAUAAUACUGAUGCCCGUAUGUGUCCAGUUAUAAAUAAAAUCUUGAAAUCUUGAA